UGCGCUGGAAUGGAUGAUUCCUUCCGCGGUGUACACUUAUGGAAGCCUUUGCAGCCACGCAAGUGGUAGACCCGAAGCGACUGUAAACAAGUUUGGUGUCGUGAUGCAAGUCAGCGGUCCGCUGGCGACACUUUCGAAUUGACGGGGACACCCUAAAGCCGAUCGCACCAACCCGUGCGGGGAAACCUCACGGGGGCCUGUGGUAACGACACAGGGGACGGUAACAGACGAUCCGGAUAGUUCUGCCUGGCAGAGAGGAUGGGUAAUCCGCAGCGAAGCCCCUACGUCGCGCCCCCCUCCGGGGGCUCGAUACGGGGAACGUUCACAGACUAAGUGGAAGUGGGUGGGGUCCCCAGGCCUGGGACCCUGCUUAAGAUAUAGUCGGGCCACCUGGGAGACCAGGUGGGAAGUACACCGCUACGAACCGUUCCGUAGGUGAACCUGCGGAAGGAUCAUUACCGAGUGAGGGUCCCCUCCGGGGGGCCCAACCUCCCACCCGUGUCUACUGUACCAUGUUGCUUCGGCGGGCGCGCCCGUGCCCGCCGGAGACCCCUUGAACGCUGUUGUGAAUGAGGUUGUCUGAGUGAGAUUGCAAACUGUCAAAACUUUCAAACAACGGAUCUCUUGGGUUCCGGCAUCGAUGAAGAACGCAGCCGAAAUGCGAUAAGUAAUGUGAAUUGCAGAA
rnacentral:misc_RNA from 1 species